rnacentral:tRNA from 1 species
GCGACCGUGGUCUAGUUUGGUCUAGGACAAAGGCCUUCCAAGCCUUUAACCCGGGUUCAAAUCUCGGCGGUCGCACCA